UGCCUACGGGGCGCAGCAGUUGGGAAUAUUGGACAAUGGAGGAAACUCUGAUCCAGUGACGCCGCGUGAAGGAAGAAGGUCUUCGGAUUGUAAACUUAUUUUAUCAGGGAAGAAAAAAAUGACUGUACCUGAAGAAGAAGCACCGGCUAACUACGUGCCAGCAGCCGCGGUAAUACGUAGGUGGCGAGCGUUAUCCGGAAUGAUUGGGCGUAAAGGGUGCGUAGGCGGCCUGCUAAGUCUGGAGUGAAAGGUACCGGCUCAACCGGUACAGGCUCUGGAAACUGGCGGGCUAGAGAGCAGGAGAG
rnacentral:rRNA from 1 species